AGUGAACGCUGGCGGUAGGCCUAACACAUGCAAGUCGAACGGCAGCACAGUAAGAGCUUGCUCUUACGGGUGGCGAGUGGCGGACGGGUGAGGAAUACAUCGGAAUCUACUUUUUCGUGGGGGAUAACGUAGGGAAACUUACGCUAAUACCGCAUACGACCUACGGGUGAAAGCAGUGGAUCUUCGGACCUUGCGCGAUUGAAUGAGCCGAUGUCGGAUUAGCUAGUUGGCGGGGUAAAGGCCCACCAAGGCGACGAUCCGUAGCUGGUCUGAGAGGAUGAUCAGCCACACGGGAGCUGAGACAGGGUCCAGACUCCUACGGGAGGCAGCAGUGGGGAAUAUUGGACAAUGGGCGCAAGCCUGAUCCAGCCAUACCGCGUGGGUGAAGAAGGCCUUCGGGUUGUAAAGCCCUUUUGUUGGGAAAGAAAAGCAGCAGGUUAAUACCCCGCUGUUCUGACGGUACCCAAAGAAUAAGCACCGGCUAACUUCGUG
rnacentral:rRNA from 1 species